rnacentral:ncRNA from 1 species
CAGUGGGCUAGGUUGGCCGCCGAAAAGCGUAAACCUUGAUACGCCUGUCCACUGUUUUUAUAAAUCAAGG